GCCUCUGUAGCACAGUAGGUAGCGCGUCAGUCUCAUAAUCCCUCGAAAGAGAAAUCUGAAGGUCGUGAGUUCGAUCCUCACCCGGGGCA
rfam:Stegodyphus mimosarum contig54802, whole genome shotgun sequence.